UACGUAGGGAGCAAGCGUUGUCCGGAAUCAUUGGGCGUAAAGGGCGCGCAGGCGGUCCGUUAAGUCCGAGGUGAAAUCUCCCGGCUCAACUGGGAGGGGUCUUCGGAUACUGGCGGACUUGAGGAGUGCAGAGGUGAGUGGAAUUCUCGGUGUAGUGGUGAAAUGCGUAGAUAUCGAGAGGAACACCAGUGGCGAAAGCGGCUACCUGGCCCGAUUCUUGACGCUGAGGCGCGAAAGCUAGGGGGAGCAAAACGGG
rnacentral:rRNA from 1 species